rnacentral:rRNA from 1 species
AUUACCGAGUGCGGGCCCUCUGGGUCCAACCUCCCAUCCGUGUCUAUCUGUACCCUGUUGCUUCGGCGUGGCCACGGCCCGCCGAAGACUAACAUUUGAACACUGUCUGAAGUUUGCAGUCUGAGUUUUUAGUUAAACAAUAAUUAAAACUUUCAACAACGGAUCUCUUGGUUCCGGCAUCGAUGAAGAACGCAGCGAAAUGCGAUAAUUAAUGUGAAUUGCAGAAUUCAGUGAAUCAUCGAGUCUUUGAACGCACAUUGCGCCCCCUGGUAUUCCGGGGGGCAUGCCUGUCCGAGCGUCAUUGCUGCCCUCAAGCACGGCUUGUGUGUUGGGCUUCCGUCCCUGGUAACGGGGACGGGCCCAAAAGGCAGUGGCGGCACCAUGUCUGGUCCUCGAGCGUAUGGGGCUUUGUCACCCGCUCCCGUAGGUCCAGCUGGCAGCUAGCCUCGCAACCAAUCUUUUUAACCAGGUUGACCUCGGAUCAGGUAGGGAUACCCGCUGAACUUAAGCAUAU